UACAGAGGUCCCAAGCGUUGUUCGGAUUCAUUGGGCGUAAAGGGUGCGUAGGCGGCGCGGUAAGUCGGGUGUGAAAUCUCGGAGCUUAACUCCGAAACUGCAUUCGAUACUGCCGUGCUCGAGGACUGGAGAGGAGAUUGGAAUUCACGGUGUAGCAGUGAAAUGCGUAGAUAUCGUGAGGAAGACCAGUGGCGAAGGCGGAUCUCUGGACAGUUCCUGACGCUGAGGCGCGAAGGCCAGGGGAGCAAACGGG
rnacentral:rRNA from 1 species